UCGAACGGUUCUCUAGUGCGGAUGUUAGGCGGGAAAGUGGAAAAGCGGAAAAGCGCAGUCAGAAACCCAGCUGAAAACCAGUGGAAACUGUGAGCAGUGAAGAAGAAACAAACAAGUUGGAGAAAAAACAAUAAAUAUAAACCAAAACUUGAGUGAUACAAGUGCUAUACUAACUAUAUCUCAUCGGGGAACCCAAAUUCCAGUGAGGUUUUCCCGAACCCUGCCGAAACGAAGCCCAAAACGAGUGUAUUUAUUUAACACACUUCCUCGUGGGAAGUUCAGUUCGUGUCUGCUGCUCGCGAAGUGCGCGCCACAGUGAAGAGGGAAAGCGGAAGCGGAAACGGAAACAGAAACGAGUACGUGGCAGGCGAUAACGGAAACGGAAGCCAAGGAACAUGUGUGUGUGACGGGAAGAUCGCUGAUCCCCGCGUAGAAGAGAGAAAUAUAUAAAGAUCGCUCAAUGCCAAACAAAAGAUUGCUCAAUCAGUGAACUAAGUGAACUUCAGAAGUGACUAAAACUAGUUAGUAGAUACUAAACUCUAUUGCGAUUUACUAGCCAGGCCAAAAGGCAGGCAGGCAGCAUGUGUGCCACGGGGAACCACCGGCUCUGCAGCCUCAGUGCUCUGCUCCUCGUCCUGGUCGCCCAAACCAUCCACGCGGAUUAUGAGAACACCUGGAAUUUAUAUUACGAGCCGCCCUGCUGCACGGGCUCAGCAGCUGGCCACCAUCUGCGCCACCACAAAGAACAUGUCAAGGACUUUAGUUGCGGGCCGCUGCAUUACAAGACCUUCUAUAUGGAUGAGAACAACAAUGCGCUUUAUGUGGGAGCCAUGGAUCGCAUAUUUCGGCUCAAUCUGCGCAACAUCAGUCAAUCGAUUUGUGAGCGCGAUGUCCUCAUAUUGGAGCCCACCGGAUCGGAUAUCCUGAAUUGUGUGUCCAAGGGCAAGCGGGAGAAGGUGGAAUGCCGCAAUCACAUAAGGGUCAUCCAGCCGAUGAACUUCAAUGGCCAGAAGCUAUAUGUUUGCGGGACCAACGCCCACAAUCCCAAGGAUUACGUAAUAAAUGCAAACUUAACACAUUUACCCAGAUCCCAGUACGUGCCCGGCGUGGGUCUGGGCAUUGGCAAGUGUCCCUACGAUCCUGCCGACAACUCAACCGCCGUCUAUGUGGAGAACGGAAAUCCCUUCGGCCUGCCCGCCCUGUACGCCGGCACGAAUGCAGAGUUCACCAAGGCGGAUUCCGUCAUAUUCCGCUCGGACCUGUACAACCUGACAAAUGGACGGAAGGAGGCCAACUUCAAGAGAACCGUGAAAUACGACUCCAAGCUGUUGGACAAACCCAACUUUGUGGGCUCCUUUGAGAUUGGAGAAUUCGUAUACUUCUUCUUCCGCGAACAUGCCGUGGAGUACAUAAAUUGCGGAAAGGCUGUCUACUCCAGGGUUGCUCGCGUUUGCAAAAACGACCGGGGUGGCAAGUACAUGAUCAGCCAGAACUGGGCGACCUAUCUGAAGGCCCGGAUGAACUGCAGCAUCUCCAGCGAGUUCCCCUUCUACUUCAACGAGAUACAGUCGGUCUACAAGAUGCCAAAGGACGAUACCAAGUUCUAUGCCACCUUCACGACGAAUACGAAUGGCCUGAUUGGAUCGGCAGUUUGCAGCUACGACAUCCGGGACAUCAACGCGGCCUUCGACGGCAAAUUCAAGGAGCAGGCCACCUCGAACAGCGCCUGGCUGCCCGUGCUGAACUCCAAAGUGCCGGAGCCACGUCCGGGCACUUGCCACAACGACACCGCCACGCUGCCGGACUCCGUGUUGAAUUUCAUUCGCAAACAUCCGCUAAUGGACAAGGCGGUCGAUCAUGAAUUUGGCAAUCCGGUCUUCUUCAAGCGGGACGUCAUACUCACCAAGCUGGUGGUGGACAAGAUACGGAUCGACAAGCUGAACCAGGAGUUCCUAGUGUACUUUGUGGCCACGACGUCGGGUCACAUCUACAAGAUAGUGCAGUUCAUGCACUACGGCCAAAGGCACUCGAACCUGGUGGAUGUAUUCGAGGCCUCGCCGCACAACGAACCCAUCCGCGAGUUGACCCUCAGCCAGAAGACAGGAUCCCUGUACCUGGCCACCGAUCACCAGGUGAAACAGAUCGACAUUGCCAUGUGUGCCCGGCGCUACGACAGCUGUUUCCGCUGUGUGGCGGAUCCCUAUUGUGGCUGGGAUGAGGACGUCAAGGCCUGCCGACCCUAUCAACUGGGCCUCCUGCAGGACGUGGCCAACGAGACUUCGGGGAUCUGCGAUACGAGUGUCCUGCGGAAGAGGGUCACCUCUUCGUACGGCCAAACCCUGCACCUCUCCUGCUUUGUCAAAAUGCCGGAAGUGCUGAGGAAGAAGCAGACGCGCUGGUAUCACCACUCCACCGAAAAAGGACGCUACGAGGUGCGCUACACGCCCACCAAAUACAUCGAGACGAACGAGGGCGGUCUGGUCCUGCUGGCGGUGAACGAGGGCGACGGCGGGCGGUACGACAGCUACUUGGAUGGCACCCUGCUCUGCAGCUACGGCGUCACCGUGGACGCCCACAGAUGCUCGCCGCCGUCGCAGAAGCAGGACUACCAGAAAAUCUACUCGCACUGGUGCAACGAGUUCGAGAAAUACAAAUCGGCCAUGAAGCAAUGGCAGGCCAAACAGGAGCAAUGCGGCCUCAAGGACAAAACAGGACCAAUCAGCAGCAAUGGCAAACACGUGAACGAUGUGUUCAGCAACGAUGCUUUGGUCUGACCCAGAAAGUACUUGUACAGCUUUGAGUUCUUGUCGUCGUCGACGGAGGGCGUGGCCGCCGCCCACCGCAAAUUGUACAUUUUCGUGUUCGUGCUUACCAUAUUUGCUCGCUUCUAAAGUUUCUAGUUAAAAUGUAAAUGCGCAGAAAAGCAGUAAGCACCCGAGGAAAAUGCGGAGAACAACUAUGAAAAUGUGACAAGGGCCGAGCUGAGGGAAAACAAAAUGAGAAAAUAAGGAAAAAUGGAAAAAAAAACCACUACAAAGACUGAAAUUUUUAAGCUUUUAAAAUCGACAAUAUUUCCGAUAAUUUCGAUGCGUUUUUUGGUCAUACUUUCGUUUUGUUUUGAGAUGUUGUCAGCGUCAAACUGAAUAAUUUUCGACAUUAACUAACUGAUAUACAAAGAUGGAGUAAACGAGAAAAGUUACUAGCAAAAGGAUCCUGCCAUAAGUCAAAUGGAAAUUACGGUUUUACACUCACACAAAGACACCUACAGAAGACACUAUUUCUAUUUCGAGCUAAGGUUAAGCUAAUCUAACAGAUACAGAUGCAGAUACAGAUAUGGAUACAGACAGAUACAGAUACAGCUACAGAUACAGAUACAGAUGGAACUGCAACCACCUAAGUGAGAAUCUGACCUAAAGUAUUAACGUAUUAACCGGGCUCAUGAGGCGCAACGAUUUGAUUUUGAUUUUCGAUUUGGUUCUGUUUCCGGCAACUCGUCGCUUGGCCAUUCCGGGUUUGGGGUUGGGAAGAUCUUAAACGAAUUUGUAUAUUACUUAGCCAUAUUUGUUCGACUAAACUUAGCGUAAGGUAUACAUAUACACGAGUAGAGCAGCCCCUGUUUAGGUCAUAGACAAGUACGGAACCAACUUAUUACGAUAGCCAAAACCAGAAACGGAAAUAAUGUUUCGGAAACACACAAAUGACGCACAGCAAAAACGGCUAUAUGGACUAUAUAGCUUAUGGGCGACCAUGUACAUAGGAGAGCUUUAGACGAUAAGUAUUAACCGGCAUUGAUUUGGACCCUUACUCGGCCACGAUUUUAAUUUGAAGUUCUGUAUUCGGCAUUAACUCGCUCUUGUAUAGAUUGUGCGUUGGCCUAAUGUUUACGAUAAGCAAUACAUAGUUAUAUAUGCAUAUGCGUACUUAUAAAUAAAUAUAGAUACAUGAAGUUACUGCAUUGAGACCAACAUGCUCAUGAUUACUUACCCCGUAAAUAGCGUAGGUAAGUCGGUGUGGCAAGUAAAUUCGUUUUUAGUAAUAUUGCAGAAAUUCAUUGUCACGAAACAAGGAGAAAACACUCAAGAACACGACUCGUUGCAUUUAGUAAACAUAUUUAUAUCCGCGAAAACUGCCGUAAUAUAGCAAAAAUCAAGGAAAACCCAAACGCUUCACUCAACCCAAAACCAAAAUAAAGGUUUGUUCACAGGAAAACAAAAAAACACAAAAGGAUAAUGGAUAGAAAGUCUUAAACAUUACCCUCACUCACACACACACUCUCUAAAUAUUUUUCUAAAGAUUUUCUCUGCAAAAAUUUUUAAUGUUUUCAUCUUAGGACUUAACCAAAACAAAAAAAAAACAUAAAAUAAAGCAAACAUUUUAGCAUUGCAUACGGGCAUUGCCAUUGUAAAUGAACUAAACCAAAACCACAAAAAGAAAACUAUUAAACAACAGAUAUUUAAAAGCUACUAAUGCUCUGAGCUUCUAACUUUAAUGGACGACAUGUUUUUGCGUUGCCUUUAGUAGAGUUUUUUCGUUUUGACAUUUAUUGUAAAUAAUUUAAAGAUUAUGUGAAAUGUUUUGUAUGACAAUCACAUGAUGUUGAGUAAAAAGUAAAACAAAUGCAGAGUAAAGAGGAAAUUAAAUGGAAACUCGGAAAAAACAAGCAAAAAUAUGAAUUAAAUUGCCAAUGAGGCAAUUAGAGAUGGAAAUUAAUAUUAAUUGAGUACUUAACGAACAAUUCACUGUAAAAAUAUUAAUACAAGGUAAACAAAUAAUCGCGGUAAAUAUAUAUAUAUAUACAUAAAUAGAUAAACGACUUUUACAAAGUAUUCAUACAAUAAAAGAAGAUUUGCGCUUAACCAUCAUUCGAAUAUACCCAAUUCAAGGUUCCAUUCGUAACAUUUCAAACGCAGAUUGAUUCACGAGCUAUCGAAAUAUUUCCGGAAAACAACAAAAUCAGAUACAAGAAACAAAUUAAGAAAACAAACUAGGUGUAAACACAUAAAAAGUAAAAUGCAGUAAAUAAAUGUGAUAAGAU